GACGAACGCUGGCGGCGUGCCUAAUACAUGCAAGUCGAGCGAACAGACCAGGAGCUUGCUCCCCUGACGUUGGCGGCGGACGGGAGAGUACCACGUGGUUAACCUACCUAUAAGACUGGGAUACCUUCGGGAAACCGGAGCUACUAACGGAUAAUAUAUUGAACUUCAUGGUUCAAUCGUUAAAGUCGGUUUUUCUGUCACUUAUAGAUGAAUACGCGCCGCAUCAGCUAGUUGGUAAGGUAACGGCUUACCCAGGCGACGAGGCGUACCCGCCCUGAACGGGUGAUCGGCCAGAUGGGAAGAGAGACACGGUCCAGACACCUACGGGGGGCAGCAGUAGAGAAUCUUACGCAAUGGACGAAAGCGUGACGGAGCAACACCGCGUAAAGGAUGAAGGAGUUAUGAUCGUAAAACUCUGUUAUUAGGGGGGAACAAAUGUGUAAGUAACUAUGCACGUCUUGACGGUACCUGAUGAAAAAGCCACGGCUAACUACGUG
rnacentral:rRNA from 1 species